rnacentral:rRNA from 1 species
CCCAGACUCCUACGGGAGGCAGCAGUGGGGAAUAUUGCACAAUGGGGGGAACCCUGAUGCAGCGACGCCGCGUGGGUGAAGGAGUACUUCGGUACGUAAAGCCCUAUCAGCAGGAAAGAAAAUGACGGUACCUGACUAAGAAGCCCCGGCUAACUACGUGCCAGCAGCCGCGGUAAUACGUAGGGGGCAAGCGUUAUCCGGAUUUACUGGGUGUAAAGGGAGCGUAGACGGCAGUGCAAGUCCGGAGUGAAAGCCCGGGGCUCAACCCUGGGACUGCUCUGGAAACUGUAAAGCUGGAGUGCGGGAGGGGCAGGCGGAAUUCCUGGUGUAGCGGUGAAAUGCGUAGAUAUCAGGAGGAACACCGGCGGCGAAGGCGGCCUGCUGGACCGUAACUGACGUUGAGGCUCGAAAGCGUGGGGAGCAAACAGGAUUAGAUACCCCCGUAC